rnacentral:rRNA from 1 species
CCUACGGGUGGCAGCAGUGAGGAAUAUUGGUCAAUGGACGAAAGUCUGAACCAGCCAAGUCGCGUGAAGGAUGACUGCCCUAUGGGUUGUAAACUUCUUUUAUCAAGGAAUAAAGCGAGGCACGUGUGCCUUUUUGCAUGUACCUUAUGAAUAAGGAUCGGCCAACUCCGUGCCAGCCGCCGCGGUAAUACGGAGGGUCGGGGCGUUUACCGGAUUUUUUGGGGUUAAAGGGAGGGUGGGUCGGGUUGUAAGUCCGUUGUUAAAGUUUGCGGCGUAACCGUAACAGUGCCGUUGAUACUGGCGGUCUUGAGUACAGGUGAGGUAGGCGGAAUGCGUGGUGUAGCGGUGAAAUGCUUAGAUAUCACGAAGAACCCCGAUUGCGAAGGCAGCGUAC